GAUGAACGCUGGCGGCGUGCUUAACACAUGCAAGUCGAACGAUGACGCCCAGCUUGCUGGGUGGAUUAGUGGCGAACGGGUGAGUAACACGUGAGUAACCUGCCCUUGACUCUUUGAUAAGCCUGGGAAACUGGGUCCAAUACUGGAUAUGACUUCUCAUCGCAUGGUGGGGGGUGGAAAGCUUAAUUGGUUUUGGAUUGACUUGCGGCCUAUCAGCUUGUUGGGGGGGUAAUGGCACACCAAGGCGACGACGGGUAGCCGGCCCGAGAGGGUGACCGGCCUCACGAGUACUGAGAGACGGCCCAGACGCCUACGGGGGGCAGCAGUGGGGAAUAUUGCACAGUGAGCGCAAGCCUGAUGCAGCGACGCCGCGUGUGGGAUGACGGCCUUCGGGUUGUAAACCUCUUUCAGUAGGGAAGAAGCGAGAGUGACGGUACCUGCAGAAGAAGCGCCGGCUAACUACGUG
rnacentral:rRNA from 1 species